CAGAAAGUAGAUUGGCCCUGGGAAGUUUGUAAAUCUUCAACUAGUUGUUGCCACUAUCUUAAGGGAACUGUUUACAGUGAGUAAACUGCGUGAAUAAUACCCUGGUAUGUGAUGAGGGGGAUGAUUUCCUGGUCCUGAGGUCGUUAACUGCGCUGCCCUAAGAAGGAAGAAACUGACUUUAAUGGAGAAGGGUUGUUCUUUGCCAGUCAGUCAAGAGAUUUUUUUUUAAAAGGGUCAGACAUAUAGAGAUGGCCUUAGGUCAAGAGAUAGAGAGCCCCGGCCCUUGAGCACCUCAAUCUGGAAGGGAACACACAAGAAGGCAGAGGGGGGCCCACAGAAGAGAGAAGUCAGAUGAGGAAACUAAGGGAGAGCCUUCCUGGGAAUGAACCCUUCCUGGGAAGGGUGAACCGAAGAAAAGCAGGAGCGGAAGUGUUUUGAAGAGCAGAAGCCACUUGUGUAAAGGCCAGUUAGUCCGACAGUGACCUAGGCUUGCUAGGCGUCUUAGGCGGCAGAGCAAGGCUUCUUAUCCGGCUUGGGAUGCGAGAUAACUCCUUUCCUGUAUGCUGCAGUCUUCAGAGAAACAACCAUUAACGGCCUAGAAAUCCUCGUCGUCAGUCCCUCCCGACUCCACACCCCAGUCUUGUGCAGAUCUUGGACAGAUGGCCACAGCUGCUGUCAGCUCUAAGUGAAGUCUGGCAGCAUCCCCGUCACCCUUCUCAGCCAUUUAAGCAUCUAGUUGAGGACAACAGUCAAAGCUGCAGCUGCCCCUCUCCUUUGAAUCGGGCCUGCCACGGGCUGGGAGGCUACUGCAGAACUGAGCAGCAUCAUUCACAGUAGACAAAAAGUGGAAGCAACUAAGCACCCACUAAAAGAUGAAUGGAAAAACAAGGUGUAGUGUAGACAUACUACAGAAUACUGCUCAACUGUAAAAAAGAAGGAAGUUUUGACACAUGCUAUAAUAUGGACGAACUUCAAGGACAUUGUGUCACAAGACCGCCGUGGUGGCUAAAACCACCUACCUCUGAUCGUGGAGUACAUGGACCAGGACUUUCUCCUGAAGACUCACAAUUGUUCUGGAUGUAUGAACUGUCUUAGUCUAAUCAUCGUUAACGGGCCUGAAGACAGGCCCUUCAUCAUCAGGGGACCUGCAUUGCCUCUUCCCAGGCAGUCUGGACCAAAUCCAUGUCUUACUGUGGGAGCGGGGAUCAGUAUCCAUGAAGUCAGACAGCUCUGUCCCCCGCAGCAUGUCUUCCAUCCGUACUGCCUGAGUUCAGCUGAAAAUAUUUUGAUACAUUUACUGCCCACACACCACCUCUUCUUCCUUUGGGCUAGCAUCGUCCCGUGUGCACACAGACACUGCCUGUGUGCUCAUAGCAAACUCCUAAGUCCUCUUUGUUCAGCUGUGUGUGCCGCUCUCAAAAAAUGUGCCUUUGGCUCAGAAGUACGUGGAGAACAAAACAGACACAGGAGGCAUCGACUGAAUGUUUGAGAAUGAGUGGAUGGACAAAGACACGAGAUGGGACGCUCAAAGAAGCCGCCAACGGAUGUGCCAGACUCUGAACCUGAACCUGGUAAGAGAGAGCAGAGCUCAUCAUGGAGCCAGAGGGGCCAAGCAAGAGCUUUGCAGAAAGUGUAGGGGCAGAGGGAAGGCAAAGUGGCAUAAGUCAGGUGAGGAAGAAGAAAGGGAAAGAGGCAAGCUCUGUGGUUUGUAGUCCUCCCCCUGAGCCGGGCUGUGUGUCACAAGCAACUCAGAUUUGGCAGAGAGGGCAGAGGAAGGCAGAAGCUCACUGGCCACACACUGUUGUUAGCAGUGGCUUAGAGCUAAACAUCUUCCGUUUUUGUGGGUUGUUGCAGAAAGUAGGGAAAGUGAAGACAAACUUGUAAGCUGCUUUCAGACUUACGAAGAAAUCUCCAGGUAGUCUUAUCAAUCCAAAGGUUUCCAUCUUGCCACUCCCUGCCCAAGUAAUUCAGUCUCUCCUCAGUUAUUGACUCCCAAGAGGGCCACGGGGUUGCCGUUGGCAUCUUGGGGUCGGGUUGUAUGGCAGGAGGGGGAUGGAGUGGUUAUGUUCUUCCUUCCCUGCUCUGGCUUCUUGUGUCACAUAACGGGACUCCCACUGUUUUGUGAUGUCCGCUAUGAGAAGGUCAAGACCCAAGCCAAGAGCACCAUGUUUCAGAACCCAUGGGGCAUCCAGGUGUCAGCAAAGCUGGCAAGAACGGCCACUCUUCGAUUUCUAGGCCCAAAGCAGCACCUUGCAGGCUCUAAGACGUGUAAACCAGUUCUCAGCUCGGAGUGUCCCCCUCUCACCAUCAGGACUACAUGAGUCUAAGAUGCCAGGCUACAGGUGUGACUUCUGUGUCAUGUCAAAGCAACCAAUAUUUUCCAACUUCUUCCUUAUGUGUUCUGGUCUCCUUGGCAGCUACAGCUGGUUAUAUGACUCAGUGAGACUGGAGAGAGAGUCCACUUUGAUCUUCCAAAAGGCUUUGUUUGCUCACUAGGAAGAAUACAUAUCAUAGACUGUCACCAUUUCUCCUAAGGCCCGGCCACCUUCCUUUGUUGAAUGAGGACAAAUGCCUGGGAAUUCCACAGCUAUCCUGUGAUCACGACAAAAAUCUCCUGAGAGCCCUGACUCUGAAAUCUAUACCAGCUCUGGACUCAUUCCUCCAGUCUUUGUGGGGAGAGAGAGAGAGAGAGACAGACAGACAGACAGACAGACAGACAGACAGACUACCUCUCUGCCUGAGGCAUGCUCCCCUUGGUUCCACCUUUAACUUUGGCACAUUAUGUGCUGAUGCUAUGACCCCAUUUCAUAGGGGCCAAGUUGUUCAUUCACAAAUCACCUGAUGGACAAUGGUCUGGAGUCACCAAGGGUGGCCCUGCUUGCUGUUUGUUGCUACUGAAGGAGAAAGGUAGGUCUCCACCAAGGGUAGUAGAGGCAAUAAUGUAGCUGCUUUUGGUGGCGUUGGUGCCGGACCAAGCCUGCUGGCGAUUGCCCUCUGGCCAUGUGCUCUGCCUCUGGGCCCUUGACUUGGUAUGUUCCUAUAGAGAAAUGUAGGGGCUUGGAGCAAGGCAGCCCAAUAUCUUGGCCCUCAUAGAUGAGAUGUUGGUAUUUAUUUCCUAAACAUGGGACGUCAUUUCAGAGAAAAGACAAGGGUAUAUAGGCAGAAAAGAAAUAGGGUUUGGAUAAAUUUGUAGCCUAUUGAAAUAAUUGAACCAGUGACCACCAAAAAUGUGAGCAUUCUAGUUUGUUUUGUUUUUAAAGCUAUAUAGUAUAGAUUCCUAGGACUGAAGCCUAAGGCUGCCAGAGUAGAGAGGGCUGAUGAGAACCCAGCCAGGGAGAUUCGAAGAGAAAUGUGAAAUUAAAUAUGCCACCGUUUCCUAACCCCUUACCCCAGAAAUCCUUCUUAAUGAAUCUAGUACCUACAGCAAAGCAAAACAAAGUGCUUAGUCCCUGUGGGGAAGUACGUGGGAGGGACCGGGCAAAGAGUUGGAUUCUGGGAAUUCUCUUUCGAGAGCAAAGGAUGCGAAGAAGCCAUAAUUGUCCAUUGCCAUCAUGUCUUAGUCACGACAGCUGUUCCAUCUGUGUGCUUGUUUUAUACUGGUAACAGCCAGGGAGUUGGCUCAGCAGUGUUCCGAUCCCCAGAACCCACAAAAAUGCUGGGCAGCCAUGGCAGCCUGCCUAUAAUUCCAGCUCUGGGAAGGUGGAAGGCUGAAGUAGGGUAUCCCUGAAGCAAGCUAGAUUAAUGGAGUGGUGUGGAGAGCAGCAAAGGAAGAUUCCUGAGGUAAGCCUCAGGCCUCUACAUGCACACACACACACACACACACACACACACACGCACGCACGCACGCACGCACGCACGCACGCACGCACGAACACAUACAACAUAUGUACAGACAUUCAAUAAGAUUUUCUAUAACUUUCUUUUUUCAAAUCUGGGUCUGGAAUGAAACAGGAAUUCUUCCACGUUAAUGGUUGUUAGGAACCCAGUUUCUAUCUAGAUUACCGGAUAAGGACUGAUAUGAGUUACUAAUGAGAUGGCCCAGAAGGUAAAACACCUGACGCCAAGAAUGACAAUUUGAGUUUCAUUUCCAGGACCCACCUGGUAGACGGAGAGAAACCACUCCCCAAAGUACUCGUCGUCUGUCCUCCACAAGUACCAUGUACCUGUGACUGGGUGCUGCCCCCCCAUCUCCUGCGCGCUCUCUCUCUCACACACACACACCA